GAACGCACCUUGCGCCCUUUGGCUAUUCUGAAGGGCAUGCCUGUUUGAGUAUCAUGAACACCUCAACUCUCAUGGUCCAUCCAUGAUGAGCUUGGACUUUGGGGGUCUUGCUGGCCUGUGGGUGUCGGCUCCUCUAAAACGAAUCAGCUUGCCAGUGUUUGGUGGCAUCGCAGGUGUGAUAACUAUCUACGCUUGUGGUUUUCCACCAGGUAACCUUCGGUGAUGAAGGUUCGCUGGGGCUCAUAACCGUGUGUCUCUCCUCAGCGAGGACAGCUCUUUGAACGUUUGAUCUCAAAUCAGGUAGGACUACCCGCUGAACUUA
rnacentral:misc_RNA from 1 species